rnacentral:rRNA from 1 species
UUCGGGGUGGAUUAGUGGCGAACGGGUGAGUAACACGUGGGCAAUCUGCCCUUCACUCUGGGACAAGCCCUGGAAACGGGGUCUAAUACCGGAUAACACCGGCUUCCGCAUGGGAGCUGGUUGAAAGCUCCGGCGGUGAAGGAUGAGCCCGCGGCCUAUCAGCUUGUUGGUGGGGUAAUGGCCUACCAAGGCGACGACGGGUAGCCGGCCUGAGAGGGCGACCGGCCACACUGGGACUGAGACACGGCCCAGACUCCUACGGGAGGCAGCAGUGGGGAAUAUUGCACAAUGGGCGAAAGCCUGAUGCAGCGACGCCGCGUGAGGGAUGACGGCCUUCGGGUUGUAAACCUCUUUCAGCAGGGAAGAAGCGAGAGUGACGGUACCUGCAGAAGAAGCGCCGGCUAACUACGUGCCAGCAGCCGCGGUAAUACGUAGGGCGC